rnacentral:lncRNA from 1 species
UGUUUCUCUCCAAAGUUCAGCUCAUUUUUCUGCUUAUGUAUCUGUCACUAGAGCAAUGCUUCAGUGGAAGAUACUGCACUUAACAAAACAGAGACACCUCUUCCUCUCAGUGGAAGAGAAUAUAAACAAAGAAAUGAAUGAAAGAAUAGAGGCUGGUAAAAAGCGACGUGCUGAACUACUUCUGGAGAUUGAAGACUUAGAGAAAGAACUUUUGCAGUCUGAAAAUCAAGUCAAAGACCUGAGUGAAGAAGUAAAUAAGAGGGAAACUGACUACAGGAAUUAUAAGGAGGAUUUUACUAACAAAAUAAAAUGUCUGGAGAAUGACUUCAAAACUGCAACUGAGAAUCUGCAUCAAAAAGAGCAAGAAUUAAACAUAAGCAAACUAACCUUGGAAGAAACCCAGAGAGAAUUAGAAGAGAAGCAUACAAAAUACGAAGAACUCAGGAAAACAUUUUUAAGUAAGUAUUAGGUAGCUUCUCUGCAGAGUGGGGCUUUCUCUUGCUUUUCA